rnacentral:piRNA from 1 species
UUGAAGGAGCCGAGGGUGGGCGUGUCCACG